rnacentral:rRNA from 1 species
AUUGAACGCUGGCGGAAUGCUUUACACAUGCAAGUCGAACGGCAGCACGGACUUCGGUCUGGUGGCGAGUGGCGAACGGGUGAGUAAUGUAUCGGAACGUGCCCAGUCGUGGGGGAUAACGUAGUGAAAAUUACGCUAAUACCGCAUACGAUCUAUGGAUGAAAGCGGGGGAUCGCAAGACCUCGCGCGAUUGGAGCGGCCGAUAUCAGAUUAGGUAGUUGGUGGGGUAAAGACACACCAAGCCAACGAUCUGUACCUGGUCUGAGAGGACGACGAGCCAACCUGGGACUGAGACACGGUCCAGACUCCUGCGGGAGGCAGCAGUGGGGAAUUUUGGACAAUGGGCGAAAGCCUGAUCCAGCCAUUCCGCGUGCAGGAUGAAGGCCCUCGGGUUGUAAACUGCUGUUGUACAGAACGGAAAGGUUUCUACUAAUACUAGGAGCUCAUGACGGUACUGUAAGAAUAAGCACCGGCUAACUACGUGCCAGCCGCCGCCGUAA